rnacentral:rRNA from 1 species
UACGUAGGGCGCAAGCGUUAUCCGGAAUUAUUGGGCGUAAAGAGCUCGUAGGCGGUUUGUCGCGUCUGCCGUGAAAUCUCCACGCUUAACGUGGAGCGUGCGGUCGAUACGGGCAGACUUGAGUUCGGUAGGGGAGACUGGAAUUCCUGGUGUAGCGGUGAAAUGCGCAGAUAUCAGGAGGAACACCGGUGGCGAAGGCGGGUCUCUGGGCCGAUACUGACGCUGAGGAGCGAAAGCGUGGGGAGCGAACAGG